rnacentral:tRNA from 1 species
GCCUGGCUGGCUCAGUUGGUAGAGCAUGUGACUCUUGAUCGUGGGGUUGUAAGUUCAAGCCCCAUGUUGGGCA